UAGGGAAUCUUCCGCAAUGGGCGAAAGCCUGACGGAGCAACGCCGCGUGAGUGAUGAAGGUCUUCGGAUCGUAAAACUCUGUUAUUAGGGAAGAACAAAUGUGUAAGUAACUAUGCACGUCUUGACGGUACCUAAUCAGAAAGCCACGGCUAACUACGUGCCAGCAGCCGCGGUAAUACGUAGGUGGCAAGCGUUGUCCGGAUUUAUUGGGCGUAAAGCGAGCGCAGGCGGUCAAUUAAGUCUGAUGUGAAAGCCCCCGGCUCAACCGGGGAGGGUCAUUGGAAACUGGUUGACUUGAGUGCAGAAGAGGGGAGUGGAAUUCCAUGUGUAGCGGUGAAAUGCGUAGAUAUAUGGAGGAACACCAGUGGCGAAGGCGACUCUCUGGUCUGUAACUGACGCUGAGGCUCGAAAGCGUGGGUAGCAAACAGG
rnacentral:rRNA from 1 species